UUUCGAUAGUUUUAGGACUUCCGGUGCAUAUUACUCCUUCCCCAAUCUAAAACACUCCCUAGUCCACCCAUUUCUUUAGGCCUACACACGUCCACCCAUUUCACCUCGUCCCCAACCUCCUCCGGCGUCGUCAGAUCCGCCGGCGGGAGCCCCCUGCUACAGCGCCCCGACCCGGCUGCCCCUCCUCCUCGAAUCCUCCCCGCCGGGCCGCCGCUCCUCGACUCCUCCCCGCCCGGGCCGACCUCCUUCAGUGCCGUGCGGCAGGACGCGCCCGGGAGCAGGACUCGAUCGGCCGCCCGCCUGCCCGGCCCUCUCUGCCCUCCGCCCGGCAGCAGGAGGCGCCCGCACGCCCGGCCCUCCCUUCCAUUCGCUGGUUACAACACUUCUGAAGUUAUUUCACUUGUUUACCAGAAAGAAAACAGAGUUAAACUGCUGAUUGUCAAGUUAAUGUUCAGUCAUGUUCCACCACUCAGUGGCGGAGCUUGAUGAAGAUUGUUCAGUCAUGCCCUUAUUUUGGAUGGGCCCUAGGCUGUCACACUCACCGCCCUUACAGGGUUCUGAAGGGCUGAUGGGUUGAACUUUACCAUCACUAGCACUACCGGUAAGGUGCACAGGUUGGAUCUCAAGUUUUAGUUUUCUCUCUUUUUACUAGUUCGGAAACUUUGCCUUCCUAAAUUGCAGGAAAGUCAUCAAUAUAAUGUAUCUACAAGGAAGGUGGUGCCUCCACUCAUCUUGUUGUCUCAUGCUGCUACAAGCUUGCCACCAUAAGACUUGUCAAGGUCCAAUGGGGACGUGCCACUCAAUAAUAUGGAUGGGUCCUAGGCUGCCGCACCUUUUGCCAUGGCCCAGCCCAUGACAGGCAGCAGCAAAGGGUGCCUUUCCAGAGCAAGGUGGUUGAGAUGGGUGUCCAUGCGCCCAUCCAUCACUGCCCUCAACAAUCUUCAUCAAGCUUGGGCCGCCGCACCAUUUGCCAUGGUGCAGCCCAUGACAGGCAGCAGCCAUAAAGGACGCCUCUUCAGAAGAGCAAGGUGUUUGAGAUGGGUGCCCAUGCGCCCAUCCAUCAGUGCCCUCAACAAUCUUCAUCAAGCUUGGGCAGCUGCACCAUUUGCCAUGGUGCAGCCCAUGACAGGCAGCAGCCAUAAAGGGCGCCUCUUCAGGCGCCCAUCCAUCAGUGCCCUCAACAAUCUUCAUCAAGCUUGGGCAGCUGCACCAUUUGCCAUGGUGCAGCCCAUGACAGGCAGCAGCAAUAAAGGGCGCCUCUUCAGGCGCCCAUCCAUCAGUGCCCUCAACAAUCUUCAUCAAGCUUGGGCGGCUGCACCAUUUGCCAUGGUGCAGCCCAUGACAGGCAGCAGCCAUAAAAGGCGUCUCUUCAGAGCAAGGUGCUUGAGAUGGGCGUCCAUGCGCCCAUCUAUCACCACAACAGCUGCUGAGUACAUCCAUUCCAUCCAUGGUGUUUGCCCAUUCUUGGCAAAGGAGGUGGAGGAGCCCACAAUGUGCCCAUUGUUGGCAAAAGAAGGAAGAGAUGCAACUCCAAUGGAGGUGGAGGAGCCCACGAUGCUAUAUGUUGUAUAUUAUUUAUUUAUUGAUGCCUGGUGGUGAUGUUUGGCCAUUCUUGGCAAAAGAACAAGAGAUGUAAUUAUUUGUACUCCAUUUAGAGGUAUAUAUAGAUGCUGCACGUGAACGCUGAAUGAAGUUACAUCAGGGCUGACCCUAGGCCAUGGCAAAAAGUGUGACGGCCUAGAACAAGUACCCUGGGCGAUGGCAAGGAGUGUGAUGGCCCACAACAAGUUGCGAUGCCCAAAGUAGGGCCGACCCUAGGCCAUGGCAAGAAGUGUGACGGCCCAGAAUUCCUGCACGAGCCAAUGUGUUGGAAGCUACCUAGAGGGCCAAUCUCAUUCAUCCUACAGAUUUUUGC
rnacentral:rRNA from 1 species